rnacentral:rRNA from 1 species
UCCUUAAUACUGAAUAUACUGUGGGGACGAAAGUCUCUGCUUUUAACUAGAUAGCAACUUUCAGCAGUGGAUGUCUAGGCUCGCACAUCGAUGAAGAACGCUGCGAACUGCGAUACGUAAUGCGAAUUGCAGGAUUCAGUGAGUCAUCGAAAUUUUGAACGCAUAUUGCACUUCCGGGUUAGUCCUGGAAGUAUGCCUGUAUCAGUGUCCGUACAUUAAACUUGACUUUCUUCCUUCCGUGUAGUCGGUGGAGGAGAUGUCAGAUGUGAAGUGUCUUGCGAUUGGUCUUCGGACCGGCUGCGAGUCCUUUUAAAUGUACUAAACUGAACUUCUCUUUGCUCGAAAAGUGGUGG